rnacentral:piRNA from 6 species
AGGAGGAGGAGGAGGAGGAGGAGGAG